AGAGUUUGAUCUUGGCUCAGGACGAACGCUGGCGGCGUGCCUGAUACAUGCAAGUAGAACGCUGAAGACUGGUGCUUGCACUAGUCAGAUGAGUUGCGAACGGGUGAGUAACGCGUAGGUAACCUACCUCAUAGCGGGGGAUAACUAUUGGAAACGAUAGCUAAUACCGCAUGACAAUUAAGUACUCAUGUACUAAAUUUAAAAGGAGCAAUUGCUUCACUAUGAGAUGGACCUGCGUUGUAUUAGCUAGUUGGUGAGGUAACGGCUCACCAAGGCCACGAUACAUAGCCGACCUGAGAGGGUGAUCGGCCACACUGGGACUGAGACACGGCCCAGACUCCUACGGGAGGCAGCAGUAGGGAAUCUUCGGCAAUGGGGGCAACCCUGACCGAGCAACGCCGCGUGAGUGAAGAAGGUUUUCGGAUCGUAAAGCUCUGUUGUUAGAGAAGAACGGUAAUGGGAGUGGAAAAUCCAUUACGUGACGGUAACUAACCAGAAAGGGACGGCUAACUACGUGCCAGCAGCCGCGGUAAUACGUAGGUCUCGAGCGUUGUCCGGAUUUAUUGGGCGUAAAGCGAGCGCAGGCGGUUAUUUAAGUCUGAAGUUAAAGGCCGUGGUUCAACCAUGGUUCGCUUUGGAAACUGGAUAACUUGAGUGCAGAAGGGGAGAGUGGAAUUCCAUGUGUAGCGGUGAAAUGCGUAGAUAUAUGGAGGAACACCGGUGGCGAAAGCGGCUCUCUGGUCUGUAACUGACGCUGAGGCUCGAAAGCGUGGGGAGCAAACAGGAUUAGAUACCCUGGUAGUCCACGCCGUAAACGAUGAGUGCUAGGUGUUAGGCCCUUUCCGGGGCUUAGUGCCGCAGCU
rnacentral:rRNA from 1 species